rnacentral:rRNA from 1 species
AACGAACGCUGGCGGCAUGCCUAACACAUGCAAGUCGAACGAGACCUUCGGGUCUAGUGGCGCACGGGUGCGUAACGCGUGGGAAUCUACCCUUGGGUUCGGAAUAACAGUUAGAAAUGACUGCUAAUACCGGAUGAUGACGUAAGUCCAAAGAUUUAUCGCCCAAGGAUGAGCCCGCGUAAGAUUAGCUUGUUGGUGGGGUAAUGGCCUACCAAGGCGACGAUCUUUAGCUGGUCUGAGAGGAUGAUCAGCCACACUGGGACUGAGACACGGCCCAGACUCCUACGGGAGGCAGCAGUGGGGAAUAUUGGACAAUGGGCGAAAGCCUGAUCCAGCAAUGCCGCGUGGGUGAUGAAGGCCUUAGGGUUGCAAAGCUCUUUUACCAGGGAUGAUAAUGACAGUACCUGGAGAAUAAGCUCCGGCUAACUCCGUGCCAGCCGCCGCAGUAA